rnacentral:rRNA from 1 species
CCUACGGGAGGCUGCAGUGGGGAAUAUUGGACAAUGGGCGAAAGCCUGAUCCAGCAACGCCGCGUGAGGGAUGAAUGCCUUCGGGUUGUAAACCUCUUUCAGCGCAGACGAAGCGAAAGUGACGGUAUGCGCAGAAGAAGCACCGGCCAACUACGUGCCAGCAGCCGCGGUAAUACGUAGGGUGCGAGCGUUGUCCGGAAUUAUUGGGCGUAAAGGGCUCGUAGGCGGUCUGUUGCGUCAGGAGUGAAAACUCGGGGCUUAACCCCGAGCCUGCUUCUGAUACGGGCAGACUAGAGGUAUGCAGGGGAGAACGGAAUUCCUGGUGUAGCGGUGAAAUGCGCAGAUAUCAGGAGGAACACCGGUGGCGAAGGCGGUUCUCUGGGCAUUACCUGACGCUGAGGAGCGAAAGUGUGGGGAGCGAACAGGAUUAG